rnacentral:tRNA from 1 species
GUCUCAGUAGCUCAGCUGGAUAGAGCAUACGCCUUCUAAGCGGACGGUCGGGAGUUCGAACCUCUCCUGAGACG